rnacentral:rRNA from 1 species
UAUGAGGGGGGCAAGCGUUGUUCGGAAUUAUUGGGCGUAAAGGGCGCGUAGGCGGUUUGACAAGUCUGAUGUGAAAUCUAUGGGCUCAACCCAUAGCCUGCAUUAGAAACUGUCGGGCUUGAGUAUGGGAGAGGUGAGUGGAAUUUCCGGUGUAGCGGUGAAAUGCGUAGAUAUCGGAAGGAACACCUGUGGCGAAAGCGGCUCACUGGACCAUAACUGACGCUGAGGCGCGAAAGCUAGGGGAGCAAACAGG